rnacentral:sRNA from 1 species
CAAUCCGGAACAAGCUGAAAAUUGAAACGACAUGUCGUCGCAUUCCUCCGUAAUAAGGAAUGACGCGCGAUAUGUUCGAGUCUCUCAAAUGCUUGCAGCACGAUGAUGAUUCGCGAGAAACAUCUUCGG